AAUGGAGAGUACAGUAGUAUUUGUGACGGUAGUAACUAGAGGUGUGCAAAUCCGAUCCGAAUCCGAUCCAAAUCCGAAUCCGAUCCGAUCGGAUUCGUUCGGAUUUCCGGGAACAAAAAUAUACAUUUCGGAUCGGAUUGAUACAGUUGUUUCGUACAGUUACUUCGAUAUUCGAAAUGAAAUGAAUUAAUUAUCCACGCAUUAUUGCAAGAAUUAAUUAUCCAUGCAUGUAUCAAAGCAUUAUCGCGGUUGUCGCUGCAUUUUUCGUUUGAUACUUCAAUUGGACGUCACUUUGUCAGCUUCUUGACAUGUAUUUCUUGAUUUUAUAUUUAUUUGGUUAAACAUUUCAACUUGAAUGAGAAAUUUAUUUUGUUAAAGGAUUCUUCGGAUCGGAUCGGAUUGGAAUUCUUUAUCACAACUCGGAUCGGAUCGGAAUCGGAUUAGACAAUUUCGGAUCGGAUUUUAAACAUUAACCAAUUGUCGGAUUAUAAACGUCCAAUCCGAUCCGAUGCAAACCUGUAGUAGUA